GACGAACGCUGGCGGCGUGCUUAACACAUGCAAGUCGAACGGAAAGGCCUUGCGCUUGUGGGGUGUUCGAGUGGCGCACGGGGGAGUAUCAUGUGUGUGACCUGCCCUUUUCUUUGGGAUAUCAUCAGGAAACUGGGGCUAAUACACGAUAGGAGACCUUUCAGCACGGUGGGGGGUGGAAAGUUUCGGCGGUUGGGGAUGGACUCGCGGACUAUCAGCUUGUUGGUGGGGUAGUGGCUUACCAAGGCAUUGACGGGUAGCCGGCCUGAGAGGGUGACCGGCCACAUUGGGACUGAGAUACGGCCCAGACUCCUACGGGAGGCAGCAGUGGGGAAUAUUGCACAAUGGGCGGAAGCCUGAUGCAGCAACGCCGCGUGAGGGAUGACGGCCUUCGGGUUGUAAACCGCUUUCGGCUGUGACGAAGCGAGAGUGACGGUAAUGGGAGAAGAAGCACCGGCUAACUACGUG
rnacentral:rRNA from 1 species